GACGGAGGAUGCAAGUGUUAUCCGGAAUCACUGGGCGUAAAGCGUCUGUAGGUGGUUUCAAAAGUCCACUGUUAAAAAUUGAAGCUUAACUUCAAAGAUGCCGUGGAAACUUUGAAACUUGAGUAUGAUAGGGGUAGAGGGAAUUUCCAGUGGAGCGGUGAAAUGCGUAGAUAUUGGAAAGACCACCAAUGGCGAAGGCACUCUACUGGGCCAUUACUGACACUGAGAGACGAAAGCUAGGGGAGCAAAUGGG
rnacentral:rRNA from 1 species